GGGGCUUAGCCACAACCUGUCAGGCCACACCUGAACUGAUAAAAGGCCUGAUGAGGCCCUGCUCAGUCCUUUCCAUUUGUUUGCUGCAGCAUGUGGGUUAGCAUGAAGCCUCGCUAAUCCUUCCUAGUUGACUGUGUACUGGAUGCAUUACUUGACUGUUCAAUCACCUGUCAGUCAACUGUUGAAGUGGGAAACUAAGGACAAUAAACUGUUGAACGGCUCUCAUCUCUGGUCCUCAUACUCUAACUGGUGUGCCAAUGCAGAAGCUCUAUACAUUAUCCAGCUUCCACAACCGCAAGUUUCUACACCAGCAACUUAAACAUUUGAAGACGCGUCCCACUAAAGAGCACGACGAAUUUACCAAAGCUAAGGGGAAAAAGAAUGACAAACUGCAGCAGCAAACUCUGGAAACUGCCUUCCAGCGACGAGAUAAAUUCCCCAAAGACAGCCAAAAAGCAACAAAGAUAACCGACAAUUUUGGAGUGGACGUGCAUGCAAUCAGCUUUACCACAGACAUUUGGAGCUCCGACGUGUGCCCCAUGUCUUUGCUAAGUUUAAUGUCACACUGGGUGGACAGAGUCAACAUUUACCCCUCAAAGUGCGGUGCUGCACGCCAACGAGUUCCGAGGGUCACAUACUGGCACAUUCAUUGCCGAAGCAAUUGAGGGGAUGCUAGUAAAGUGGAAAAUUCCCAAGUCCAACGUUCAUGUUUUGCACGACAACAUGAAGAAAGCCAUGGACGAGAUGUAUGUACCAAGUUUGGGAUGCUUCACCCACACUCUCCAGCUGGUGGUGCAUGAUGGGCUACUGUCACAGAAGUGAGUGAUGCACUGGUGAAUGGUAGGAAGAUAGUCACGCAUUUCAAACACUCGCCACUGGCUACUACAUCCCUGGAAGAUAUUCAAAAAGAUCCAAAUGCCCACCAAAUGUGAAACCAAGACGUAGCAACGAGGUGGAACAGUACCUACUAUAUGGUCGAGUUUACUGGAGCAGAAGCGGUCAAUUUCAGCAUACGGAGCUGACCAUGACCUGCCAGUGACCCUUACGGCUAACCAGUGGGCUUUACUGGAGAAAAUAAUCACUGUUCUAGCACCAUUUGAAGAACUGACCAGAAAGAUUAGCUCCUCCACCUCUUCUGCAGCUGAAGUAAUCACCUCAGUCACAGUGCUGAAAUGCCUGCUUGCUCGGGAGAACGAGGGGGACACGGGUAUAAAAACCAUGAAAACAACCCUUCUUGAGGCUGUCCAGAAAAGAUUUAAGACCAUCGAAUGAGCCCUUGUAUGCAGUUGCCACUCUUUUAGACCCACGAUUCAAAGACAGAUGCUUCACUGGAGCACACAGCAUCAAGCAUGCCAAGGAUGCUCUGACCCGAGAGGUGGAGAAGAUGGAGGAGUUACUGAGCAGGACCACACCUGAGGGAGCAGAGACAGUGCCAGAAAACCCCCAUAAAGCCCCACAUAUGGAAGCACAGCUAGCAGAAAGAGCAGCUUGAAAGGCCUGUUUGAGGAAAUCCUGCAGGAGCAUGAUGAGGAAUAAGUAGCACAAGCACACAAGUUCAAAUACAGACAUAUUUGACAGAGCAAACGGUCCCACGCUCAGACAGCCCAUUCCAGUACUGGGGAGUCAACGAAAUUCGGUUUCCCACCCUGGCUGCCACUGCUGCAAAGUUUCUUUGCUCCUUGUACCAGUGUUGACAGUGAGACUGUUCAGUGCAGUGUCCAACAUUGUUGAUGCAAGAAGGAACAGGCUAGGAGGAGAGAGGACAGAAAUGCUCAUCUUGAAGAAAAAUCUGCCUUUGCUCUUGAAAUUAUGAGCAAAAUGCUACUGCAGUGUGUAGCCUACUUGUUUUAAAGUAUUUUGUUUAAUGUGUAGCUGCUGCUCUUUUGAUUUGUUUUUUUUUUUGUUUACUUUAUAGUUUGUUGGAGUACUGUUUUAUUCUGUUCUAUUUAAAAAUUUAAAUGCCUUUUAUUUUACAAAAUUGUGGCUGCACUUUAAUUUAAAAAAAAUAAUUAUUCCUAUAUUUAAGUUGCUGUUGCACUACUGUUUAUACUGCUUCCAUUUGAUGUAUUCAUUCAUGUUUUACAAAGGGUUUAACCUGAGCCAGGCCUUACCACAAUGAUAAUCAUAUAACAGUCAUGCAGGCAUAGUACGAUCUUUUUCUUUUAACACACUGGUAUGGGUAUCAGUACUUGGUAUCAGCCGAUAUCCACAGCACGAGUAUUGGAAUCCGUAUCGGGAGGGGAAAAAAUGGUAUCGGAACAUCUCGUACACAGUUGUGUAUGCAAGCGGGCUGAUUUUUACUGCUGUGUUUACAAAUGUGUUGCAGCUGAUUGGGUAACACCUCUGACAUGCCCACCAAAUGGGGAAGCCCAUUGCACAAUGUCGAUUGAAAAACUGUUAAUAACUGUUUUUUUUGUUCUGACUUUAUUUUAUAACCGUACACUGGGAUGACCAGAAGCAGUAUGUGGAGACAGUUUGCCGUUUUCCUGUUAUGCUAACUGUAGCUAACAUAAGUUAACGUAACUAUCACCAGUGGCUGAAACCUUUCCAGACAAUCGUCCACAUUUACGAUUUUUCAUCUGGGGCUGUUUGUUGUUACAUGUGCUUUGGUCUGGUAAGUGGAAAAAGUUCUGUUUUCAGGCGCAGUCAUUUUAAGAGAAAGGCUAAAGUUAACGUUACUUGAAGUUAGCUGGCUAACACAAUGAGGUAAUGUUAAUGUUCACUUUGCACUGAACUGCUGUAACUUAACGUUAGUUAACAUUACUUUAGUUCUAUACGUUACUGUGGAGACAGUCAAACUCUGCCUUCAUAUAAAUUAACAACCGGUUUCUAAACGCAGGGUUUGUAGUAAGUAGGGCUUGACCCCGAAUAUUAGACGGUAUGGGUACAAAUUGGAGUUUCAAUUUUGAGAUUGGAUUGUGGGUUUUUUCGUGCGCCUGACCUCCGCUGAGAGCAGUGAAUGUAACGCUCCAGUUCACAUCAAAGGGAAAACGAAAUGAAGCCCUCAGCUGUCUGGGAGCACUUUAAACUGUGUGAUGACAGCAGUAGCUAAUCUGUAGGCUGGAAACAAACAACAUAAUGAACACAACUCUAAAUAAUUGAGGCCAAUUGUAGAAGAAGAGCAUUUAGUCGCUAUAAUAAAAGUGAAAUUUACAUAAUGUUAGAUUUCGUUCCGCUGCCAGAAAUACCGCUCAUCCAGUCUGCUCUCCGUCUGGACCCCCGCCCGCCUAAACUAUUCCCGGAUUCUGCUGUGGACCAGGGGCGGCUUGUUCAUUAGGGCGGCCGGGCGCCGCAACGCCAAGCUGGGAAAGGCAAGAGAUUUUUGUCUUCUACCACACUGUAGUUAGCUGUGACUGUUUGUGACAGACAGCUUGUCUCUGAAUAUCGCUGUCCAAUCAGCGUCAAGUCGUGUUCCGUGGAGUCCCGCCUCUUUUGGUGCGGUUUCAGUCUGGUUGUAAAUUUCCCAGAUCUCUCUCACAGACUUUCAUGUAAAGGCAGUUUUUUCGAGCUGCACCUGCUGCAAUGCAAUCUCUAUGGGUUCCGGGAGGGCUCGCAGGGCUCGGACUCGGCGGUCCUCCAGCUUGUUGCUCUCACUACAACCAGCUGCUGUACAAAACGUACGUUCAGGCUGAAAAUUCGACCGUGGUGUUUCGGGAGAUGCAGUGACUUUACCAGCGAAACCGAAGAAGAAAGAGGAGGUAGCAUGAUGUGGCCACAACUGGCAUCUUGUCAGAGGAGGGUAAAAAGAAGGAAAAAGUAGAUUAGAAUAUACCUUUUAUACUGUAUUUGCCCUUACUGUAUUUGCCUUUACAUCCAAAGAUCUGUUGAUCUUAACUGUGGACUGUUCAUUCAUUGUAGACAUUGACAAUGAACUUCAGGAUGUAGCUGUUCACAAAUACUGUACAGUAUGUAGCCUAAGGAACAAUCCUUGUCUUCUAGCAGACUAAGACCAUUGAACUGGUCACCUUAGCCAUCAUCGCAACAAUUGCCCCCCCUGAGAGAUUUGGCAGGAGCCGCCACUGCUCUGGGCCUGCUUGGAUCAGACUCUCUCAGCAGCCACCAACCCGGUUUGGCACACAUCUAUUUUCACUCUGCCUCGCUCUUCACCUGCUAAAUAACCAAUCUUUUUACCCUGCAAUAAAUAUUCCUCUUUUAUCUAAGUCCUCCCUUUCUUAGUCCUGCACUUGGGUCUGCUAGCCUUGCCAUAACAAAGUUAAAAGCAAAGAUUUGGUAAUAAUCACUUAGUUAGCCUAGCAAUGAGAAUAAAUAAACGGAGCGCUCUCUAGUUUUUUUUUCUCUGUCUCUCUGUUUCACAGGGACACAGAGACACACACCCAUGCCUGCUGUUAUCUCUCCCCUAGCCGAUCCUCCCUCACUUCUUGGGCAUUUAUCCUUCUUCUGCUGUUCUGUUCUAUCUAUGAAAUACAUAGCUGUAGCUCUUGAAAUGACAGCCUGCUUAUCAACACACCUUUAAACAAUGGCCAUAACGGGGAGCUUCAAUUAUUCACUCUUAAUUACUAUCGAAGCGUCGUAGCUCAAAAAAUGACAUUCGGGCCAGCCCUAGUAGUAAGAUGUAGGGUUCCGCAAAAAGUAAAAACAUCCAUAAUGUGGAACAAUAGAGCCUGGUUUCACUGAUAGGUUAAAUAUGCUAUGAAAACCCCUCCAGUUUUUUUUCAGAUUUUCUAGUCAAAUUAGUUGGAACUGUGUAAUUAUCAUGUUUGUAUGAUAAGUAUUUAAUAUGUUUAUAUUGAACUUAUAUCUGUUGUAAUCUGUUUAUAAUAAUUAUUAAUUUAUAAUUAUUAAUAGAUCUGUCCUCUCAAGUGAACCUAAGCACUGAGUUACCUUGAGCUUGUAAGAGAUUUCGGCAAGAUGCAUGCUGAAGUAGUGUUGAUGCAUGACUGAAUGUUUCAUUUUAUCAGAGGUGAACCUAAUAAACCCCUCAGCCCUUCAUUCUCAUCUGAAGUGGCUGUAAUAUGUAUUUGUAAAGGAAUAUUUUCCCACUGUGUUUAUGAAAGUUGGUGAGGAAUGUUCAGUUUUUAUUUAAAUUUAAUUAUUUAUGGCAGAUGCAGUUUGUGGUCUGGUGAACUGUAUUGCGUUAUAAACAGCUGAGUCUCUUUUAUUUAGCGUGGCCUCACUGAUAUAAAUGGGAUAACAAAAUAUCAGAAACACCGGUCCAUGUGAUCCAAAAUUAUCAUACAGUUGAAACAAAAACUGCACAUUAUCAUUUUUAUGAAGGGAGGAUUUAUUGCAGAAAUGUUGGAUUAGACUGCAUUAAAUUUAGCUAGAUGUACCUAAUAAACUGGUUACUAAGUCUAAAUACAUUUAUCAUAACAAUAAACUCCAUACCCAUAUCACAUGUUUGUGAAAAGUGUUUACACGGCCUUUAUUUUGUAAACUAAUCAAAAGUUGGUGUUCUUACAUUGUGUGCCCAUUAACUAUAGUGAUAGAACUGGAGGCAGCAACAUUUCACAGUGGAUGACAUUUUAACAUAAAUAAGAUAAUUUAGCCUUGACUGGAGACAUAGGGGGAUAUUGUACUGUUUUAGAAAAGUGCAUUAGUCCAGCUGUGACUGUGAGAUUUUAUAAUGAAUAUGUAUAUUUAGCAAUUUAAAAUUCUCAUAGAUUUCUUUCAGAAAUGAUUGGCAGUGAUCAAAAUCUGAGAAAAGUAAAUAUCUAUUACAGCAUUAAGUGUAAAAAAUUUUCACUGUAGACUCUGUUAAAGGCUGUUAUAAACUUAUGAUGAUGCGGUUGAAUGACUUCUUUAUGGUUCUGUUUAGUACCUGACUGAAAUUCUGUCUCAACCCUGUUCAGACCAACAAUGGCAUUGUUGAGAAAAAACACACAAGGGUCUGUGUUUGUGUGGGAAUGUUGCUUCAGGUAGAAGCUAAAUGAUGAAAUAUUAUAGAAUUAGACUAUGUUAAAAUUUAUUUGAUUGGCUAACUCAAUUCUUAGUCACAUAAUCUUUCAUUUUGAUGCAGCAAAACCAGGUUAAAGAAAUUUGCAGGAUGACCCUGCAUUUUCUUUUCUUGUCACUGCAGUGGUCCGUGUCCAUUUCUCAGGUGUUUGCUGAGGUCAUCGCUUUACAAAUGUUGCACCUAUGCAACCACUUCUACUGCGAGCUUGAGAGAUGCAUACCACAACUGAUUGCCCUGUACAGACAGAAGGCCAAGAGAGCAGAGGUCCUGCAGAGAUCCUCAGGAUUUAUGACCUUCAGACACCAACUCCAUCCAUGACCGGUCGCCAUACAGAGAGAUGUACUCUAGGCCUUCUCCACAAGCAGCUCACCUGUGGUUGUUACCACAGAAUCGCGGGUGAAAAAGUUCAAAAUGUGAGCUAUAAAACAUACAUGGGCAGUAACACAUACGGCUGACAAUGAAGUUGAAAGCGGACAGAUAGCAGCCUGUAUGUGUCUGUCGCUGUAUGAUACAACAAGAGAGAAACUGAAAAGGGCGGUGCAAGCUGGUGUGUGUGCAGCGUUGUGCGGGACAGCACUGUAGGCGCUUGUGCGAAUCUCCACAUCCCACAAUAGAAAACUGAAUACCAACCCAAUGAAGGAAUAGUCAAAUAUUUGGGUCCAGCCCUACUGCACUGGCUUCCAAAUCUCUUCUAUUGUCAUGUUUAAGGUUAUGGUUAGCUUC